CUCCGCGGAGGCGCAGAUUUUGUGCUCCGAGGGGGGAGGUCUCUCCCCUACCCCACCCCACCCCACCCCACCGGGCCCGGCCCGGCCCGGCUCAGCCCGGCUGCACAGCCAGUCACGUGCGGCUCCCGCCGCUUUGAUUAACCCUCUCGGCCCGGCCCGGCCUGGCUCCCCCGGGACUCGGCGCCGCCCACCCGUGCCAUGAGUUUGCGGGAACUCAGAGCUGCGCGGGGCCGGGGCCGGGGCCGGGGCCGGGGCGCGGCCGCCUCCCCGGGGGGAUCGGUGGCCUUGCGGCUCCUCCGCGGCUCUCCCGGGCGUGGAGCAGCGCCGGGAGAGCGGGGGCUGGGAUCCCCGACGGCCAGAGCUCCCCCGAGGCAGCUCUGCCCUGGGAGCCCUGCUUCAUUGACGCGGAUCCCGGGAAGCUCCUUGCACCGCGGAGGGAAGGAGCCGCUGAGCUGAGCCGAGCCCGAGGGAAGGAGCAGGACCGGGAGCGCCCUCUCCUCUCCCGGCCGCGGAGAAGCUGCCGUGGGGAAAGGCAGGACGGGGACCGACGGCUGCGAUCGUCGCUGAAGGCACCUCGGAGCAUGAAAAGCACCGGAUCGCCAGGCGCCAAACUGGAAAAUCAGUUACUUACGCAGUCAACUUGUGACAGCCAACCCUUCCAGAGGGACUACGCUGAUCUACACCAGCUGAGGACUUGGCCCGAUCAUUGCGGACAAUGGAACUAAGCUGAUUUAUGCUAGUUCAGAAUCUGACUCAGUCAUCGAAAGCAGUGGGACAACACUGAUUUACUCCCACUACGGUGCCGGCCCAGCCUCAUGUCUAGUUGCAUAAUUUGGGCCGAUACACUGCACUUUAUGUUUUGAGACUGAAUUCAACUGGACACUUUGUGGUUUGUUGGCUGUGCAUUGCCUCCUCAAACCUGAAAGGAUUCCUCCCUCUCCCUGUCUUAAUAUAAACUGUAUUCAGCAUGUUUCCAAUAUUGCGAGUUUAACUCAUACAAAGCAGCAGUGUUUCCCUGGCUGUUUUACACUUUAAUAGGGAAAAAUUUGUACUUUGUACAUGAAACAUGUGGGAGAUUUUUUCUGUGUGCUUCGGAAAGUGUUUUGCGGUGCCAAGUUUGGCCUCUUCAAUUUCUUUUUCCUUAGAGUUGCUCCAAAGUGAAAGAGAAAAAAAAAAAAAGAAAGAGUCAAAAUGAAGUUUUAAAUCACUGACGAUGAAAAUGGUAAGUCACACAAAUGGCGUCCGGAGGCUUAGAGCCAAAACCAGCCGGAGGAGAAAAGGAUUAAUUUUCUUCGGAGGACUCAGGAUGAAACUUACUUCAUUGAUAUCACUGAAGCUAUUCCAGAUUUACACCUGUGUCAUUGGGUUCAGAAGCUGCCUCCUCACCCCAAAUUCUGUUCCCACUUGCCCUAAUAGAAAUCUGGAGCCAUUGAGCUGGAUGGAAUUAUUGCAGGUUUACACCAAUGUGGAACAGGCCACAUAGUUUACACCACCAUGGGCCCAAUCCUCAGAUGAUGCUAAUUUGAAGUUAACAGCUCCAAAAUUAAAACCAAGCAUAUGGCUUGUGGUGUGCACAUUACACACUGGACUCCCACAGUGGUGUAAAUCUGGAGCAAUUCAAAUCUAGCUAUAGAAUGAUUUUACAUUUAGAGCAGUGGAAUUGGGUGCAGAAUCUGGGUGCCGGCCCCCACAUUCUGGCGCCAUUUAAUGAAUGUAAAUCAGGAGCAAGUCCAGUGAUUUAAGGGGAGUUAUUUCAUAUUUACACCAGUGCAACGGCCUGUCAUGUAACACAUGGCAUCAUGCAGAUCAGAUACUUGGCAAAUGCUGCUUCUGUAGCUCUCUGGCUUUAGUGGAGAUAGUACAACAGACACCAAGUGAGAAUCUGCCCUGCCGGAGGUUAUGCACGGAGGUUGAAGUUUGUUCUGAGCUGGUGAACAUCUAGAAAAGCCCCACUGCUAUCGGUGGGGUUGUUCCAGAUUUACUUUGCUGUGGCCAAAAACAAACUUUAGCUUCCGAUUGCAAAAUGAUCAACCAUUGGCUUAAGCACUUGGAAGUGGCAAAGUACUGUGACUUGUGUUGGCAUUGGGUGCAUGUGUUGAGUGGGUCAAACUCGGUUGUGGUAUAAGCAGGGCAAAGUGAUGCCAAUGGAGUUAGACCUAGGGUGGAUUGGCCCAAUGAGCAUAACUUGUAUACUUGGAGAGGGGUGAUUGCAGUGAAGGAGAACAAGUAACCAGGGGCAGCGGGGCGAGGUGGGGUAAAAGAGCUCCUAGAUCUUUAAAUGUAAUAAUGGAUAUGGAACUCUUCUCUUAUCCUUGUAUAAAUUAGGAUUAAGUCCAGGGAAGUCAAUGAGGUGUAAACCAGCACGGGCAAGUAGAAUUGAGGUUUCUGAGAGCCAUGUUUGGUCUGAAUCUCCUCUCGGGUACACUGGGGUUGCUGUGUUAAUGAUCUCAACCCCGGAUCUCCUGCUAGUUACACCAUUUGAGGAUCGAGCCUGUGGACUUCAGUGUGCUCACUCCUGAUUUACACCAGGGGCAAGUGAGGUCAGAAUCUUGACCAUUAGCUCUGUAACUACAGUGUUUCUUACAGAGCCCGGUUGUUUUAAGGCUCCCUCUGAUGCCACUCGCCAUGCACCCUUCGCGCCAUGUUCUGAAUGAGCUUCCCCUGAGCACCCCAUUUACACAUCACCUACAGCCCACUGGUUUUGAGCCAGGACCGUAGCUGGUGGCACUGUCCCAAUUUACAGUAGCGGAGAACUUGGAUUAUUUUCUAGCGACUGCCAAAGGAGGAGACAUGUUGUGCUGGAUUUGGGAGCUGCAUGCGGCUACUGAGCUGGUUUGGAAGAGGCUCAUUCCUCUGUUGGGGAUGGACAGAUUUAUUCUCCUCAACUCUAACGAGACAUUUCCAGAGCCCAGUAAAUUAUAUGCCCCAAGACAGAAGAAAUCUUGCCUCAUAAAUCAGAGCUGUGGCUGACAAGUGCUGCAAGCAUCUUUAUCCUGGUGAGUGGGUUUUUUCAGGUCCCAGGUACGGCAGCCUCCACCGCAAAUCCCUAAUAAAUCUGGGAGCAAUCAUUUUUCACAGAGAGCCAAAAAAGCGCCGGAAAACAUUUUCUUCCCUUAAAAUGUAAGUGGGAAAUUUAUUGUGGAGAGGCUGGGAAGAGCCUUUCCCAGGAUGCCACAACAAACUGCGCUAUAUCCAGGACCCCGAGGGGCCUUAUAUGGAGGAGACAGGGGAACUGGCGGGGUGCAAAUCAGGAGAAGUCCCUUUGAAACCAAUGGGGGAUAGAGGUGUCAGGGAUGGGAGAAUCAGGCCCAGUGGUUUUCGCUGCCACACCAAAACCAAUAAAGGGGCUAAGUGAGAUUGAAAUGGCAGAACUUGCUGCCUUCUGUUUUGUGUUUAGUCCUUGAAAAACUCUCCCUUCAAAAGGGUGGUUGGGGGGGGGGAUUUAUUUUAUUAACUAGCCAACACCUGAAAGUAAUUGGGUCUGUCUUGGUGGCUGGGAGUGGAGGAGGGGUAUUGUUCUAGAGGCGUCUCUGGGGGGUGGGGUACAGGGAUAUUAUAUCCCCUGGGCUACUAUUUCGCUUAGGUUUUUCUUUCUUCCACUCUGCUCUGAGGAUCAUUAGCUGUGGACCAUGCAAGCUAAGACAGAAGUCCCCACAAAUGUAAGCCCAAGCUCUGUCCUGGGGACUCGAUUAUACCCCCACUGAAAUAAGUGACAAAAUCCUCACUGAAUUCGGUAAGGAUUGCUUUCCGAAGAUCUGCCAACGCCAAUGGUCUGGGUAAAAAUUCAACCAAGUCUAUUGUCCUCAAUGAUCAGGUGUAUGGGAAUCAUCAGGUGUCUGGGAAUCAUCUCUUGGCUUUGGAUCCCAACACAGACAAUGUUUGCUGAGCAUUGGUACUGGAGACAUGUCUCUGUGACUGUCCCUUCACAGACAGUCGUGUUACUGCUUAGGUCAUUUUGCCCAGAUCAAGUCUCCUCUCUGCACUUGCUGGGAUGUAAUGCCUCCUUUUGGUUUUCAAGUCCACGUUUCAUAACAUCUCGCUGCCCCACCACGUCCAGAAUAACUUUCUUCCCUACGCCCUGCAGCUGACAAAAUUCCUUGAUGUCUUCUUCAGCCAUCCAAGACCCAGAAAUACUUUGUUAGCUUCUUGGGCCAGGGACCAACCUUCUGUUCCUGUAGAAAUAUAGAAAAGCAGGGCUGGGAGGGAAUUCCUGAAGUCAUCUAGUCCAACCCUGGGCUCAAGGCAGGAUCAGCCCUAUCCAUCCUAUCCCGUCCCGUCCCGUCCCAUCCCGUCCCAUCCAAGUGCUUGUUUGACAUGUUCCUAAAACUGUACAAAUCUGCCGAACAGCUAUGAAGCACAUUGCUCCAAAACACCAAGAACAACCUAACCUGCCACAGGUAAAAUGUGUGUGUGUGUAUGGGGUGAGAGGGCGCCAGUGGGACACACACAGGGGCACUGUCAGUGUCCUGCUGCUGCCAGGUUGUGCUUGUACAGCAGGAAGCACAAUGAAAUCCUGAUCCAUGGUCAUAAUCAGUAUGUGGUAAAAAAGGGUGAGGCUUUACUGCAUGCCAUCUGCUCAUGUGCCUGUUCUUAUGCUGCAGUGAAUAGAAACUAAGCUGGCAUAGCUGAGCUCUGCACAGAAAAAAAGUGUAGGUGAUCACGGUUUACCCGUCACUUGCCAUGGGCAAGAGCAGGCACCCACACAGGUACUGCAGAGCUCCUAAUGCAUAGUAUAAGGAGGUGCAGCCUUCCGGGGCUGAAACUGCAGCUGCAGGUAGACAGCAGUUAAUAGUCUGUCUGGUGGGAAGGCUGGGAGACAGCUGCAGCUGAUGAUGAUGGUAAACGAGGGUGGACCUGCAAAGAGGAUUGAAAAUCUCCAGGAGCAGAGGGGAGAUGGAUGUACAUGGAGCUUGGGAUGUCUCUCUUGAGGCCUGAUGGCAAGUUUUGAUUUUGUUUGCAAUCUUGCUUGUUUUAGCAUGUGUUUUGUUUGCUGUGGGGACAAGGCUAACCUGUGUAAAAUAAAUUGGCUGGACCCUGAAUCCAGAGCUGACUGGCCUUGGUAUGGAAGCUGGACAAGAGAUUUGCUUACACAUAGUCAAUCCCUGUUCUUUUUGGCUCCUUGGUUAAUUUUUUGGGGGUCCAUUUGGUGAGAUUGGGCCUUGUAGGUGCUAUUGCAAUGUAAGUGUAUCAAAAUAUUGCAAAAAAACAAAAGGAAAAGGGUUUGCAGGAGAAGCACUAUGCAAAAUAGGAGGGAACAAUGGGGCAAAUAAGUGUUCACAUACUUCUUUUUUUGUGAAAACUGUCUCUAUUUCCCCCUAAGUUUUCUCCUUGUGUCUUUUUUUUUUUUGUUUUGUUUUUUAAAGAAUGCAUCACUCCUUUAAAAAUUGUUUUUAACCUUUCAUUAAAUAAAACCAAAACAAAAUUGGAAAAAAAAA